CCUACGGGCGGCUGCAGUGAGGAAUAUUGGUCAAUGGGCGAGAGCCUGAACCAGCCAAGUCGCGUGAGGGAGUACUGCCCUAUGGGUUGUAAACCUCUUUUGUCGGGGAGCAAAAGCCGGACGUGUCCGGCUGUGAGAGUACCCGAAGAAAAAGCAUCGGCUAACUCCGUGCCAGCAGCCGCGGUAAUACGGAGGAUGCGAGCGUUAUCCGGAUUUAUUGGGUUUAAAGGGUGCGCAGGCGGAUUUUUAAGUCAGCGGUAAAAUCGUGGGGCUCAACCCCAUCCAGCCGUUGAAACUGGGGAUCUAGAGUGUGCGAGAGGUAUGCGGAAUGCGUGGUGUAGCGGUGAAAUGCAUAGAUAUCACGCAGAACCCCGAUUGCGAAGGCAGCAUACCGGUGCACAACUGACGCUCAGGCACGAAAGCGUGGGUAUCGAACAGGAUUAGAUACCCCGGUAGUC
rnacentral:rRNA from 1 species